GCUUACGGCCACACCAGCCUGAGUACCCCUGAUCUCGUCCGAUCUCGGAAGCUAAGCAGGGUCGGGCCUGGUUAGUACUUGGAUGGGAGACCGCCUGGGAAUACCAGGUGCUGUAAGCU
rnacentral:rRNA from 1 species